rnacentral:lncRNA from 1 species
UGUCAACCUUUAAUAGUCCGGCAACUCCCGGACAACUUGGAAAAUAGAACGGGCAGAAAUUUGCAUUAGUGGUUUUUGGGCAGAGAAAUUUAUAUUUAUAAUAAAUGAAAUACGUGCGAAAGUUAUGACGAAUACGAUUUUGUGUGCCAAAUUGUAAUCGUUAUAGCAUUUUGAAGUAUCCACCAACUGCGCUGCAAGUUGCAAUGGGCAAAGAUCAAGAUCUGCUGGAAGCAGCACGCAUUGGAAAUAUUGCUGUAGUCGGCAAAAUUCUUGAGCAGAUUACAAAACGCAGCAGUGGGCCUUUCUCAAGCUUUCGUCGCAGU